rnacentral:rRNA from 1 species
UACGGAGGGUCCAAGCGUUAUCCGGAUUUAUUGGGUUUAAAGGGUCCGCAGGCGGGAUAUUAAGUCAGUGGUGAAAUUCUACAGCUUAACUGUAGCACUGCCAUUGAUACUGGUAUUCUUGAGUGUGGUUGAAGUGGGCGGAAUAUGUCAUGUAGCGGUGAAAUGCAUAGAUAUGACAUAGAACACCUAUUGCGAAGGCAGCUCACUAAACCAUUACUGACGCUCAGGGACGAAAGCGUGGGUAGCAAAC